AGCUUAACUCCAUAGGAGCGUGGAAACUGCAAGACUAGAGUACAGUAGGGUAGCAGGGAAUUCCCAGUGUAGCGGUGAAAUGCGUAGAUAUGGGGAAGAACAUCGGUGGCGAAAGCGUGCUACUGGGCUGAAACUGACACUGAGGAACGAAAGCUAGGGUAGCGAAAGGGAUUAGAUACCCCUGUAGUCCUAGCCGUAAACGAUGGAUACUAGGCGUGGCUUGUAUCGACCCGAGCCGUGCCGAAGCUAACGCGUUAAGUAUCCCGCCUGGGGAGUACGCACGCAAGUGUGAAACUCAAAGGAAUUGACGGGGGCCCGCACAAGCGGUGGAGUAUGUGGUUUAAUUCGAUGCAACGCGAAGAACCUUACCAAGGCUUGACAUCCCUGGAAUCCUGCGGAAACGUGGGAGUGCCUUAGGGAGCCAGGAGACAGGUGGUGCAUGGCUGUCGUCAGCUCGUGUCGUGAGAUGUUGGGUUAAGUCCCGCAACGAGCGCAACCCUCGUUUUUAGUUGCCAUCAUUAAGUUGGGCACUCUAGAGAGACUGCCGGUGACAAACCGGAGGAAGGUGGGGAUGACGUCAAGUCAUCAUGCCCCUUACGCCUUGGGCUACACACGUACUACAAUGGUCGGGACAACGGGCAGCGAGCUCGCGAGAGUAAGCGAAUCCCAUCAAACCCGGCCUCAGUUCAGAUUGCAGGCUGCAACUCGCCUGCAUGAAGGAGGAAUCGCUAGUAAUCGCAGGUCAGAAUACUGCGGUGAAUUCGUUCCCGGGCCUUGUACACACCGCCCGUCACACCAUGGGAGCUGGUCACGCCCGAAGUCGUUACUCUAACCUUAGGGAGGAGGGCGCCGAAGGCAGGGCUAGUGACUGGGGUGAAGUCGUAACAAGGUAGCCGUACCGGAAGGUGUGGCUGGAUCACCUCCUUAAAG
rnacentral:rRNA from 1 species